UACAGAGGGGGCAAGCGUUGUUCGGAAUUACUGGGCGUAAAGGGCGCGUAGGCGGCCUUCUAAGUCGAACGUGAAAUCCCCGGGCUCAACCCGGGAACUGCGUCUGAUACUGGAAGGCUUGAAUCCGGGAGAGGGAUGUGGAAUUCCAGGUGUAGCGGUGAAAUGCGUAGAUAUCUGGAGGAACACCGGUGGCGAAGGCGACAUCCUGGACCGGUAUUGACGCUGAGGCGCGAAAAGCCAGGGGAGCAAACGGG
rnacentral:rRNA from 1 species